CGUCGGGCCCCGCAGUAAGGCGGCGAUCGCGGGAGCGGCGUACAGCGAGGCUAGCGUCGUUGUGCCGUUUUCUUAGCAGUCCCCGUGUCCCCGGUGCCCUGGCAGGCUCUGUCGGCGAAUCCACGCUCCCUUACAAGCUCACUCCACACAGGUGUGCACUUCCACCAGUUUUCAGCGCACGGUGUCACCGGUGUUUGUACCGCGGUUCAUUUCAGCUACCGCUCUCAUGCACCGCGUUUCUUUUUCCAGUCAAAAGCAUUUCUCUUAUAAUCCUCUGACAAUAGCCCUUAUUCCGGGAGGGAGGUAUCAUCAGCUAAAGUUUUAUACGUUUAACAUUCAUUUGGUGUGCGAGCAGAAUAACCAGCCCCUUUUCCUUGCGCGUUUCUUUGUAGGGAGAAGUUCUAACCAUCUUCCCGUGGCAUCUGGCUUUUUUUGUGAAGAGGAGGUUGCACUCAAGAGCAGAAGCAGCGAGGUCCACGAUGGGAAAAAUGAAUCCAGCAGUCCCUCCUAACUUGUACCCACCUGAGUGCAGGAAGAGACCUCAUACAAAGCAAGAAUGCAUUUGGGCUUGUGGCUCUUUUUAACCAUAUUUAAUCCAAUUCAGAGUUAAUGGUGAGCUCAGUGAAACUGGCCUAAGCAUUGCUGAAGAAGGGAAGAACAGAGUUGGAAGGCAGGAGCUAUUUCAAAGCAGGAUUCUUCUUUCUGUAACACUCAAACAUGGAAACUUUACAAACUUCAUUAGAUCCUGCCAUCAAUGAGUGAGCUUCCCUGAAAUCUUCUUAUCAGUUACAGAUGAGAAGGGUAACAAGAAGGAGGAGUGCUUAAGUGGUUUUAAUGACAGUUAAUUUCAUCUAUUUAUCAAAUGACAGGUUGUCUUUUUUCCUCAAAACUUGAUUGUCAUGACAAAAUGCUUUUGGAAGUCAUCCUUGUAAAAUAAAACUGACAAUUUUGGGGCUACAAAGA